UAGGGAAUCUUGCGCAAUGGAGGAAACUCUGACGCAGCGAUACCGCGUGAGUGAGGAAGGUCUUCGGAUUGUAAAGCUCUGUCGUGAGGGAAAAAUGGUCGCACAGGUAACAUUUGUGCGAAUUGAUGGUACCUCAGAAGGAAGCACCGGCUAACUUCGUGCCAGCAGCCGCGGUAAUACGAAGGGUGCAAGCGUUGUUCGGAUUUAUUGGGCGUAAAGCGCGCGCAGGCGGGUUUUUAAGUCAGAUGUGAAAUCUCGGAGCUCAACUCCGAACGUGCGUCUGAAACUGAAAAUCUAGAAUACUAGAGGGGACAGAGGAAUUUCACAUGUAGGGGUAAAAUCCGUAGAGAUGUGAAGGAACACCAGAGGCGAAGGCGUCUGUCUGGCUAGCUAUUGACGC
rnacentral:rRNA from 1 species